AUCCCCAUACUAGCACUGAAGAUGAUGAUGGUGACGGGCAUGAUCUAACUUGGAACCAGUUCUCAUUUUCUUGAGGGAGUGGACAUAGCAAAUCUGAUUUCUCUUUGUUUUUUCUACUGGCUGAGCUUGACACUUCAUCACAAACCUCGACCGAUACAUGAUCAAGCCCAUCACCAUCAUCAUCUUCAGUGCUAGGGAUA
rnacentral:pre_miRNA from 1 species